rnacentral:rRNA from 1 species
AUGGCGCCAUCAUCCAAGCUCCUCCUCCUGUUCUUUGCCAUGGCACUGACGGUCUCCACCGUUCACGGUUGCGGAUACAACUGCCCGCCCCUGUCUCCGCCCCCGCCACCACCACCGUUGUACCCGCCGCCAUCACCGCCGCCGUCGCCACCGCCACCGCCACCGGCGUACCCCCCGCCGCCACCAUCACCGUCAACCAGCUAUGGCUCGUGCCCGAAUCUGCAAGUGUGCGUCAACGUGCUGCACCUGCCGAAUCUCAGUCUCGGCUUGUUUGCUAGUGAGUGCUGCCCGCUGCUCUACGGGUAG